rnacentral:rRNA from 1 species
UGAGGAAUAUUGGUCAAUGGGCGCAAGCCUGAACCAGCCACGUCGCGUGAAGGAAGACGGCCCUACGGGUUGUAAACUUCUUUUGCAAGGGAAUAAAGUUGGCCACGCGUGGCCUUUUGCAUGUACCUUGCGAAUAAGGAUCGGCUAACUCCGUGCCAGCAGCCGCGGUAAUACGGAGGAUCCGAGCGUUAUCCGGAUUUAUUGGGUUUAAAGGGUGCUCAGGCGGGGGAUUAAGUCGGCGGUGAAAUUUUGCGGCUCAACCGUAAAAGUGCCUUCGAAACUGGUUUCCUUGAGUGUGGAUGAGGUAGGCGGAAUUUGUGGUGUAGCGGUGAAAUGCAUAGAUAUCACGAGGAACUCCGAUUGCGCAGGCAGCUUACUAAGCCAUAACUGACGCUCAAGCACGAAGGCGUGGGGAUCAAACAGGAUUAGAUACCCCUGGUAGUCCACGCAGUAAACGAUGAUUACUGGCUG